AACUAGAAAAUGCAUUUCCUGAAGGAAAUACCAGUGCAUGAAAUGCUAAAGUUAAGAAAGGAAGAAGAAAAGAAAAAAGAGUGAAAGAAGGAAAGAAGAAAGGAAAGAAGAGUGAAGAAAGGAAAGGAAAGGAAAGAAGAGCGAAGAAAUGAAAGAAGAGUGGAAGAAGGAAAGAAGAAAAGAAAGAAGAGUGAAAGAAGGAAAGAAGAGUGGAAGAAGGAAAGAAGAGUGGAAGAAGAGUGGAAGAAGGAAAGAAGAAAGGAAAGAAGAGUAAAGUAAGGAAAGAAGAGUGGAAGAAGGAAAGAAGAGUGGAAGAAGGAAAGAAGAGUUGAAGAAGGAAAGAAGAAAGGAAAGAAGAGUGAAGAAAGGAAAGAAGAGUAGAAGAAGGAAAGAAGAAAAGAAAGAAGGGAAAGAAGAAAGGAAAGAAGAGUGGAAGAAGGAAAGAAAAAAGAAAGAAGAGUGGAAGAAGGAAAGAAGAGUGGAAGAAGGAAAGAAGAAAGAAAAGAAGAGUGAAGAAAGGAAAGAAGAGUGGAAGAAGGAAAGAAGAGUGGAAGAAGGAAAGAAGAGAGAUGGAAGAAGGAAAUAAUAAUAUUCCUAGUUAUACAGUUGAAUGGAGAGGGACAGAGAGAAGAGGAGCCUUGGA
ensembl:lncRNA